AACGCUGGCGGCGUGCCUAAUACAUGCAAGUGGGACGCAAGGAAACACACUGUGCUUGCACACCGUGUUUUCUUGAGUCGCGAACGGGUGAGUAACGCGUAGGUAACCUGCCUAUUAGCGGGGGAUAACUAUUGGAAACGAUAGCUAAUACCGCAUAAUAUUAAUUAUUGCAUCUUAAUUGAUUGAAAGAUGCAAGCGCAUCACUAGUAGAUGGACCUGCGUUGUAUUAGCUAGUUGGUAAGGUAAGAGCUUACCAAGGCGACGAUACAUAGCCGACCUGAGAGGGUGAUCGGCCACACUGGGACUGAGACACGGCCCAGACUCCUACGGGAGGCAGCAGUAGGGAAUCUUCGGCAAUGGACGAAAGUCUGACCGAGCAACGCCGCGUGAGUGAAGAAGGUUUUCGGAUCGUAAAGCUCUGUUGUAAGUCAAGAACGUGUGUGAGAGUGGAUUGUUCACACAAAGACGUAUCUACC
rnacentral:rRNA from 1 species